CAUCUCAUUUCUUUGUGAGCUAACCAGAACAGUAGAGUUUAUUCAUGAGUGCAACUAAAUUUGUUGCGAUGACUUGAUUUCAUAUAUGGAAACAAGGAAAGAAACAAAGUUUCAUGUUGAUUUUUAUAUGGUUUUUUGGCCUAAUUGGAUGAUAGAAACUAAGUUAGAGCAUACAGGUAUAUGCAUUUUGCAUACACUGCAAUGAGACUUUGCCUCUCAUUUUAGUUUAUUACCCUCAUCUUUUAUUUACCCUAGUUUAAAUUUGAGUCCUAUGUCCUGAUCAGUCAUGCCCCCAGUUCAUGUUACUCUUGACCAAAAUGUAUAAAGCAGGUAUUCAAUGCUCCAAAUUUCUAUUUACUUGACAUUUUGGCAAGUUUAACCUUUGGAUACGGCAUGGAUACUCUGAAGGGAUACACAAGGGAUAUGAGAUGGAUACAAGAGGGGUUUAUUGAUUUGUGCAGAUGUUUUUGGGAACAGCGAAACUGAGGGUAACUUUGAAAAAGUCUUAGAAUUGUUUUUGAAGAGGGGAUUUGAGUGGUAUUAUAUAAUGUUAAGGGCUGAUAUGAACACAAAGCAAAACAGAAAAUAAGAAAGAAAGAAAAUUUAAUAUGGUAGUUCACUAUGUGUUAUGGAUUAUGUGACUGCAUGCCGAGUCUCACCAUGAAUUGGGUCUAUAUGGACUAUAAAAGCGACAAUCAUCUUCGUUAGUGACUAAUUCUAUUAGGA